UACGGAGGGUGCAAGCGUUAUCCGGAUUCACUGGGUUUAAAGGGUGCGUAGGUGGGCAGUUAAGUCAGUGGUGAAAUCUCCGGGCUUAACCCGGAAACUGCCAUUGAUACUAUCUGUCUUGAAUACCGUGGAGGUGAGCGGAAUAUGUCAUGUAGCGGUGAAAUGCUUAGAUAUGACAUAGAACACCAAUUGCGAAGGCAGCUCACUACACGAAUAUUGACACUGAUGCACGAAAGCGUGGGGAUCAAACAGG
rnacentral:rRNA from 1 species